rnacentral:lncRNA from 10 species
AGCUCCCAGCCUAUCUGCGCGAGCUUCUGUGUCCUAAAUAACUUGGGAGUUACCAGUCUUCUUUAAGGAUCUGGUGUUCUAAAAGGUUUCUAAAGAAUUUUAUGAGGUUUUUAUUACUUAAUUGACAAGAAUUUAUUAGCUAGAGUGGCAAGUAAAUAAGGACGUCUUAAAAACAAAAAGUUGUUUUACUUCCCAUUUCACUUUCUCUCUCUCUAGCUGUUUUCCUUCACUAAUAUUUCCAAAACACACAACAACAGUUGGCAUCGCUCGCAUAUAAACAGCUCUUCCAUGUCACUGAGAAAACGAGCAAGAUCCAGGGAGGAAAAAUGGAUACAGGAUAUAAAUAGAAAAUCCUCAAAACAGGAAUUUCAAAAUGUCAACAAACAGGCAAAACUUUCUUUCAACAGCGCUAUUAUGACUGGUAUGUUUCACUUGCUUUUUUUUUUUUUUUCUUUUUCUCCAGCAAAUUGCUCAAAUGUCGGUGUGCUCUCAUGAACAGAAACGAUGGCACGGUGGGUCCUGGUCUCAAGACUUCCUCUCAAUGAUUCAGAGGUCUUGGGGGUUUUUUGUCUGAAUAUCAGGCAAAGAGGAAGGACGGCUACAAUGGAGGAGUCUCCUACCACGCUUGUGGUCGUCACUGUAGUGCUCAGUUGAAUGGUGUGUCCAUUGGGGUUGGAGUCCCCAUCCUGUUCUGGGUCCUGGCCCCCCACAGGCUCCAGGGACAUAACCCUUCCAGUUCAGGAUCAUGUGCUGGGGCACUGUUCCCUGAGGUGGGACUCUGGGCUGUAACAGCUGCUUUUGAAGCAUGUUCCAGCUUCAACCACGUGCUUGGACGACACCAGCUCUUCCCACAUACUCUUCCCCAGCUCUUGUGUUGAGUUUGGCUUCCACCUUCCUCCAGCUGGUUUCAAAGAUGAUGAAAAACAUCAUGAUACCACACACAACACCUCAAGGAAGAAGGCACAAUGAGUGAGACACAGCAG